CAACAAACUCCAGCUGAUGCAUAUUUUAGUCCACUCUAAAAAAGAUGUGGGAAGAUUGCAAUAAACAUCCUUAUUAAUGAAAAAUUAGCACAGCAUGUGAAACCAUUUAAAUUUCAAAAUUUACCAGAGACCACAUUCCUGGCAACAAUUCUGUCAUUCCCAACAGCUGUCUCCAAGUGGUAACUAAGAGUUUAUAAGGCAUGAAAUCAUCCAUCACAACCCAAACUGUGCCCUGCUAGUGAGUCCUGGGGUACUGGACUCGAAUCCUGAAGCAACCUGGAGAAGUCCUUAUGGCCUGGAGUCUCAGCAGAGCAUUACUGUUUGCUGAUGAAGACAGAAGAUAAAUUGGUGGACAAGUUCUCUUGCUUUUGGAUGAGAAAUAAAAAUCGUUUUGUUGCCUCCAGGUAGGUUGGGCCUUAUAACCUGUUGAAGUGUAAUAGCACCCUACAGUAACAAACACCUAAGGGAAAAAAAAAUCAUAGAAUCAUAGAAUAUCCUGAGUUGGAAGGGACCCUUAAUCAACUUCUCUUCAAGCCUUCCAAUUCCCAUUCAUUAAGCAACUUCUUUCAAUAUCAAACCUUUUAAGGCUCUUGUAUAUCCCAAAGAUCAUGGGCAAUUAUCACCAUCUGGUAGU
rnacentral:lncRNA from 1 species